UCAAACUCUUUCAUAAUUGUUUCUAAGACAUUCAUCAUGCCAGUAUCCCUUAAGGAAGUUUCUUUCUCAGGCAAUGAAGAAUCACUAGAAGCUUAAGGAAGGAAGGGUGGAAGAAAGGCAGCAGAGAGCAUGAGCAAUGGAAAAAUUCAAGUGUCAUGAUUGGAUUUUAUUGUAUACAUUCUGUUGAAUCCACGUGUGUUUGCAUCAAAGCUUCUCUAGUUGUUCAGCGAUCCUACCACGUGCCUUCUGCCUGCUCCUACUUCAAACACCCUUCUACAAUGGGGGUUCCAUGAAUUGUUUCCUCACAUGAGCACAUUGUGAAGAUAUCAUCUAUGGAUGUGAAAAGU